rnacentral:rRNA from 1 species
GAUGAACGCUAGCUAUAGGCCUAACACAUGCAAGUCGAGCGACCGGCGCACGGGUGAGUAACGCGUAUCCAUCCUGCCCAUAACUAAGGGAUAACCCAGCGAAAGUUGGACUAAUACCUUAUGGUUAUGGAUGGGGAUGCGUUUGAUUAGCUUGUUGGCGGGGUAACGGCCCACCAAGGCACCGAACAGUAGGGGUUCUGAGAGGAAUGACCCCCACAAUGGAACUAGGACACGGUCCAAACUCCUACGGGGGACAGGAGUGAGUAAUAUUAGUCAAUGAAGGCAAGUCUGACCCAGCCAAGUGGCGGACAAGAUGACGGCCUAUGGGUGGUAAACUGCUUUUGUGUAAGAAUAUGUAUCACAUGAAUAAGGACCGGCUAAUUCCGUGCCAGCAGCCGCGGUAAUAC